ensembl:snRNA U6 U6 spliceosomal RNA
GUGCUCACUUUAACAGCACAUAUACUAAACUGGAAACAAUGCAGGGAUGAUUAGCAUGGCCCCAACAAGGAUGCCAACACAAAUUUGUGCAGUGUUCUAUAUUAAA